rnacentral:rRNA from 1 species
GACGAACGCUGGCGGCGUGCUUAACACAUGCAAGUCGAGCGGUAAGGCCCUUUCGGGGGUACACGAGCGGCGAACGGGUGAGUAACACGUGGGUGACCUGCCCUCAGCUCUGGGAUAAGCCUGGGAAGCCGGGUCUAAUACUGGAUAUGACUCCAUGACGCAUGUUGUGGGGUGGAAAGCCUUGUGCGGCUGAGGAUGGGCCCGCGGCCUAUCAGCUUGUUGGUGGGGUGAUGGCCUACCAAGGCGACGACGGGUAGCCGGCCUGAGAGGGCGACCGGCCACACUGGGACUGAGACACGGCCCAGACUCC